GAUCAUGGCUCAGAGUGAACGCUGGCGGUAGGCCUAACACAUGCAAGUCGAACGGCAGCACAGAGGAGCUUGCUCCUUGGGUGGCGAGUGGCGGACGGGUGAGGAAUACAUCGGAAUCUACUCUGUCGUGGGGGAUAACGUAGGGAAACUUACGCUAAUACCGCAUACGACCUACGGGUGAAAGCAGGGGAUCUUCGGACCUUGCGCGAUUGAAUGAGCCGAUGUCGGAUUAGCUAGUUGGCGGGG
rnacentral:rRNA from 1 species